rnacentral:rRNA from 1 species
UACGUAGGGUCCGAGCGUUGUCCGGAAUUAUUGGGCGUAAAGCGCGCGUAGGCGGUUACUCCAGUCGGAUGUGAAAGCCCUCGGCUUAACUGAGGAAGUGCACCCGAAACUGAGUAGCUAGAGUACUAAAGAGGGUCGCGGAAUUCCCAGUGUAGAGGUGAAAUUCGUAGAUAUGGGGAGGAACACCGGUGGCGAAGGCGGCCACCUGGACGGUAACUGACGCUGAGACGCGAAAGCGUGGGGAGCAAACAGG